UACGUAGGGUGCAAGCGUUAAUCGGAAUUACUGGGCGUAAAGCGUGCGCAGGCGGUUCUAUAAGACAGAUGUGAAAUCCCCGGGCUCAACCUGGGAACUGCAUUUGUGACUGUAGAGCUGGAGUACGGCAGAGGGGGAUGGAAUUCCGCGUGUAGCAGUGAAAUGCGUAGAUAUGCGGAGGAACACCGAUGGCGAAGGCAAUCCCCUGGGCCUGCACUGACGCUCAUGCACGAAAGCGUGGGGAGCAAACAGG
rnacentral:rRNA from 1 species